rnacentral:sRNA from 1 species
UGCCCCAAGCCCGUGAUUGCUGCCGUCCACGGGGGCUGCAUUGGCGGAGGUGUGGACCUCGUCACCGCCUGUGACAUCCGGUACUGUGCCCAGGAUGCUUUCUUCCAGGUGAAGGAGGUGGACGUGGGUUUGGCUGCCGAUGUAGGAACACUGCAGCGCCUGCCCAAGGUCAUCGGGAACCAGAGCCUGGUCAACGAGCUGGCCUUCACCGCCCGCAAGAUGAUGGCUGAUGAGGCCCUGGGCAGCGGCCUGGUCAGGUAGGGCCGUGGCCGUGGUAGGUCAGUGCUGGGGGCAGCCAGGCCUGGAGUGUUGGAGGCCUCUGCCGGUCCCCUUGUCUCCUUGCUCUAGAAUUCCAAGGGGCAUCCUUUCUUGGUGAGGUCAUUUCUUUAUUGUGGGGUCAGCCCCCUGCUCUGAUUGGGCUGUUUCUCUGGGGUCUUGGGCCUUCCUCUGUGAGUGGCCACUUCUUCAUCUGCGGGAGGUUGGAGGAGAGAGCCCUUCCCAGCCCACCCGGUCCCUGAUCUCUUUCGCUGCAGCCGGGUGUUCCCAGACAAGGAGGUCAUGCUCGAUGCUGCCUUAGCGCUGGCGGCCGAGAUUUCCAGCAAGAGCCCUGUGGCGGUGCAGAGCACCAAGGUCAACCUGCUCUAUUCCCGCGACCAUUCGGUGGCCGAGAGCCUCAACUACGUGGCGUCCUGGAACAUGAGCAUGCUGCAGACCCAGGACCUCAUGAAGUCGGUCCAGGCCGCGACUGAAAACAAGGAACUGAAAAGCGUCACCUUCUCCAAGCUCUGAGAGCUCUCGCGUCCCAGGCCCCAGCCAGGGGUCUGGCCUUGUCCCGCCUCAUCCGCAGAAAGGGAGGAUGGGCGAUGACGGUUGUCUCUAUGCCUUCUCACCCAGUCUCCCAGUUUAUAACUUUAUGACA